rnacentral:misc_RNA from 1 species
AAGUCGUAACAAGGUCUCCGUAGGUGAACCUGCGGAGGGAUCAUUAAACAAAUCAAAUCCACCAUUGGAAAGUAGUAAUAUUUAUUGUAAGUGUUAUUGCUUUCCAAGGUCAACAUAAAGAUCUUUUAAGGUAUUUAUGUUGCAAAUAUGAGUAAAACGUUUUAAGUAGCAGUAAUCUUACGAUUCCUACUACAUAAGACAGUUUGCUCUAGAAGAUAGUAAUGCAAUUACUAACGUAAUAGCAUUAGUAUCUUUGAAAUACACGAUAUUAAAAUUGACAUAAUAAUGACAAAUUAAAUAAUCAACUUUUAACAAUGGAUCUCUUGGCUCUUAC